UUCUCCUAUUUCUAUGCAUUU
rnacentral:piRNA from 1 species